rnacentral:rRNA from 1 species
UACGGAGGGUGCAAGCGUUGCUCGGAAUUACUGGGCGUAAAGCGCGUGUAGGCGGUUUCGUAUGUCUGGCGUGAAAGCCCCGGGCUCACCCCGGGAAGUGCGCUGGAAACUGCGAGACUAGAGUCCCGGAGAGGAAGGUGGAAUUCCAGGUGUAGCGGUGAAAUGCGUAGAUAUCUGGAAGAACACCGGUGGCGAAGGCGGCCUUCUGGACGGUGACUGACGCUGAGACGCGAAAGCGUGGGGAGCAAACAGG